rnacentral:rRNA from 1 species
GCGUGAGUGAUGAAGGCCCUAGGGUUGUAAAGCUCUUUUACCCGGGAUGAUAAUGACAGUACCGGGAGAAUAAGCCCCGGCUAACUCCGUGCCAGCAGCCGCGGUAAUACGAAGGGGACUAGCGUUGCUCGGAAUUACUGGGCGUAAAGGGAGCGUAGGCGGUCGAUCAAGUCAGAGGUGAAAGCCUGGAGCUUAACUCCAGAACUGCCUUUGAUACUGUUCGACUCGAGUUUGGGAGAGGUUAGUGGAAUACCGAGUGUAGAGGUGAAAUUCGU